rnacentral:lncRNA from 7 species
UAGUCCAACUCCCCUGCAAUGAACAGGGACAUCUACAGCUAGAUCAGGUUACUCAGACUCAGUCCAGUCCAAUCCAUGGCUUGGUACUGCCUCUUACCAAGAUGAGUGAACAGAUUAUGCUAUUGCCACGUGUACCUUGCCAACACAUGAGACUGUGAACUACUUUCUGAUGUCAAAGAAUCUUAGAAUGAUAUGGAAGAGACCUUAAAGAUCAUCUAUUUCCAAAACCCCUGAUAUGGGCAGGGACAGCUUCCACUGGACUAGGCUGCCUAAAGUCCCAACCAACCUGUCCUCAAACGCCUCCAGAAAUGGAACACCCACAACUUCUUUGGCAAUAGUUGGCUUGAGCAAUAAAAUCUGAGGGGCUUGCAUAGAUACCAUCCCAAACUACUUGCUCAGCUUCUUCACUUUGUCCUCCAACAUAGAAAAGGGAAAAAGAUCAGGUUAUCACAUACCCAAUGAGAUUCUAGAUCUUGCCAUUGUGGGAAAUACCAGACAUCUCAUCUCUGAUUUUAUCUGCUGGAAAUUAGGUGAUGCAGGAAGAAAAAACUGAAUAGAGAUAUAUUAAUGGUGUGGCUUAGAAAACAAUAGUUGAUUGCUCAGAUGAGCUCUUUCUUUCACACAUCUGUCCAUAGUUACACUAAAUUUAUCUAAUCUCUACUGUCCAGAGCUCUGUUCAUCACAGGAUCAUCCCUAUGAGAUGAAAUCAAGAUGAUCAAGCAGGACAUGCCUUUCUCUAUUCUGUAAGAUUCAUUGGUUGAUGUUCCUCAUAAGAGGAAUGAAUACCUCUCAGCUCUCAGUCAGCUUUGAGGGAGCUCUUACAAGUCAAAAAUGACUGCUCACCACCUCUCUAUGAAAGAAGACAGACUUAUUUCACCCAUGUCUCAGACAAGGUCCUCAAGAUCACACAGAGAUCCUGAAAAAAAGACCAUCGGAUCCAUCAUUACAGAUUCAAAAUGGCUAUGAAAGUUAUCUGCCCUGGACCUGACCUGGUUUGCUUUCUGCUUACAGGGCAUCCUCUCAGCUCCUCAGCCUCAUCUCCACAGCCCGCAGCUGAUGUCUCCUCUCACACAACAACAAAACAUGCUACUACAGCCGGCUGAGUCACGGUUUGGCACAUCACAAGACAAUGUCAUCUCCUAGCAACGGUGAGUCGAUGAUAAUGGAAUUCUCACACGUGCAGAGUUGUAAGGGCAGGCAUGUGUAAGGGCUGACACUGCUGUCUGCAAGUUCACCUGCAUCUCGUGCAACAACUUACUCACCAGGGGAACAGGUCAUGGAAAGACAAGGCUUUCAAACAGACUUUCUACUAGUCCAUCCUGUGAUCAGAACUGUCAUGAAUGGCAGUAUCAAGACAGCAGAUAAAUCCCAGCUAAAUGAACCACAGUGAGAGAUCAGCAAAAGGAUGCAAGCUGAGCUUGUCUCAAAGAGAAGUUGCUUUAUGCUCAUCAUACAAAAGGCAAUUAGUCAUAGACUUUUUAUGACUUGGCUGGCCUUUGUGGAAACUACUCCCAGGUGGAAUCAGAAUAGUUUGAGCCUGACUCAUAGAGUCUGUCCUGACAGAAAUAUUUUGCAUCUCAAGUCCUGAAAAGGUCCAUUACCUCAAAGCUGAGCUUGCAUUCAGUGCAGCUCUUGAAGCACAUGCUUACUGCUACGUUGGGAUCUCGCAGGUGCUUAAGAAGCUUUGAAAGCAGCCUUGCCUCCUCUUUAUGCUAUCAAGCUGAAAGCUCUGAACACUUUCUACCCUAAAGAAGCUGUGGACAAAUUGCUCACUGCUCGUCUUCAGCAAACCAGAGGCAAAAUUGGGUUCAUGUCUCAUUAGCACUAUUUCAGUGAGAGCAUGAUGAUCUAAGUAAGUCAUUGAGAUGACUCUGUGUAUUUAUAAAGUACCUAAUGAGCUGGGGUACAGUUUUAACCACAACUUACAAGCCUUUCCAUGAUACUUUUUUAAGUCCUACCUUUUACAGCCUUUUCUUCUGUCCUCUAUAGAGGGAUGGAGGGCAGGUUUACAACAGUCGUUGCAGUUAAUAGGAUGGAAGCAUGACAAACAAAUAUAUAACUCCAAUUAUGCAAAAGCUAAUUAAAGAGUGUGGCUUUUCAGCAGACCAUUCAAGUUAAAACUUCUCCAGGAUGGGUUUAAAAAGAGUGAGUUAUGGCUCUAGUUCUCUUAACAUUUUCCUAGUUUCUUCCCCAUUCCUCCACUUCCUUCUAGAUUGUUCCUCCCCUCAUAUGGGCUUGAUGUCACCUUUUAAUUUCAUGUGUAAGAUCUGGAGAAUGGCAUAGAACAAUAUUAAACAGAAUG